rnacentral:tRNA from 7 species
GGGAGUGUAGCUCAAUGGAUAGAGUACCGCGCUUCGGACGCGGAGGUUGUGGGUUCGAGUCCUACCACUCUCG